CUAUUGGUUCUUUACCAUGGCAGUGCCAGUACACAAUCGUUUCCAGGCUCUAGUUAACCUACAUGAUCAGGCAGGUAUGGUAAGACAGGUGAAUAAAUUGGCGGCCUUUAUUAAACCCUCCUCGCCCAACCAACAGACUCUGGCAAAGCAGGCUAAAUCCAGUUAUGCGGCUGCAGUGACUAGCAAGUCACCGACUGGCAGGGCCUUAAUGGGAGCCAAGGCCCAUAGGGACUCUGGAAUAUGCAGGAAUACUCCAGGGGGAUCGAGUGACAACUCGGACCUGCAAAGAGUGGAGGGGCUAGCUUCAGACUUACCCCAACAAUCAAGAAGAGUAAGGAGAUAUUUAAUCCCCAAACUCAACGACCAAGAGAGAAUCUGGCCCCACCUAAAGUCCCAGCCUUGAUAAUCCCAGGUUCACAACAAGAUAACCAGCAGGGUACGGUAGCAAUGGAAAACGGAAAAGAAACGGAACCUGGGACAGAACUAAUACUGGAACCUGUAAAAAGGGAUACACUUUUUUAUCCCACAUGUCAUUCUAGAACUGAAAGGAAAAUAAAUGAUU